AUCCUACGGGAGGCAGCAGUGGGGAAUUUUGGACAAUGGGCGAAAGCCUGAUCCAGCAAUGCCGCGUGAGUGAAGAAGGCCUUCGGGUUGUAAAGCUCUUUUGUCAGGGAAGAAACGGUGAGAGCUAAUAUCUUUUGCUAAUGACGGUACCUGAAGAAUAAGCACCGGCUAACUACGUGCCAGCAGCCGCGGUAAUACGUAGGGUGCAAGCGUUAAUCGGAAUUACUGGGCGUAAAGCGUGCGCAGGCGGUUUUGUAAGUCUGAUGUGAAAUCCCCGGGCUCAACCUGGGAAUUGCAUUGGAGACUGCAAGGCUAGAAUCUGGCAGAGGGGGGUAGAAUUCCACGUGUAGCAGUGAAAUGCGUAGAUAUGUGGAGGAACACCGAUGGCGAAGGCAGCCCCCUGGGUCAAGAUUGACGCUCAUGCACGAAAGCGUGGGGAGCAAACAGGAUUAGAAACCCCGGUAGUCCCAUG
rnacentral:rRNA from 1 species